rnacentral:rRNA from 1 species
AGCAGCCGCGGUAAUUCCAGCUCCAAUAGCGUAUAUUAAAGUUGCUGCAGUUAAAAAGCUCGUAGUUGAAUUUCGGGACUAAUAUGUCGGUCGUGCCUCGGUACGUACUGGUAUUUUUGGUUUCUCCCUUCUGACGAACCUUGAUGUCAUUAAUUUGGUGUCUUGGGAAAUCAGGACUGUUACUUUGAAAAAAUUAGAGUGUUUAAAGCAGGCUCACGCUUGAAUACAUUAGCAUGGAAUAAUGAAAUAGGACGUUUGAUUCUAUUUUGUUGGUUUCUAGGAUCGACGUAAUGAUUAAUAGGGAUAGUUGGGGGCAUUAGUAUUCAAUUGUCAGAGGUGAAAUUCUUGGAUUUAUUGAAGACUAACUACUGCGAAAGCAUUUGCCAAGGAUGUUUUCAUUAAUCAAGAACGAAAGUUAGGGGAUCGAAGACGAUCAGAUACCGUCGUAGUCUUAACCAUAAACUAUGCCGACUAGGGAUCGGAUGAUGUUAAUUUUUUAAUGUACUCA